UCAAUUGUAGCUCAGUGGCAGAGUAUCUGCUUUGCAUGCAGAAAAUCCCAGGUUCGAUUCCCAACAUCCCUCAUUUAAA